UUUUGGAACAGACUUCUGGAACGGAUUAAGUUUGAGAACCAAGGUACCACUCUAUUGCACCACUUUUGUGGAGCAUUUCAACAUCACCAUUAAACCCAGGUGCACUGCAUUCAGGUGACGAAGCUUUCAGUAUGGACACAAUAUCUGUGUCAGGCAAAAGGGGCUCAGUACCAGAAUUUGCUUCCGACCAAUCCAUUUCUCUGGAAAGAGAAUAUGUAGGCUAUAGCAAAGAGUCAGCUUGCGAGACCAGCACACUGCCAUAGCUGCUAAAUAAUGGACCCUGAUGAGCCAUGCCAACAGACUCAUGCACAAAUUCUGACGUAUAAGCAGCAAUAAAAGUCUUAUAUCAUUCUUUAAGCAGUGUGACAGCGCAUACAGAAUGGCAAGUUAUACAUUUAUAGAGCAGUUUCUUAAGUGUUCAAAGCACUUCAUAUUUAUCAAUCUCAAUAAUCCUUAUAACUGCAGCAGAGGGCAAUGUUAUUAAAUUACAGGUGGAGGUCUGAGGCUAAGAAAUUGCAGUUUGUCUUUAGCCACCCAGUGGCUUGGUUCACACGUGACCCCAAACCAGGGUGUCCCAAGCUUGGGUCUCCAGCUGUUUUUGGACUACGUCUCCUAUCGUCCCUAGCUAGCAGGACGAGUGAUCAGGGAUGAUGGGAAUUGUAGUAAAAACCCUUCCCUAAACUAUGGUUAAGUUACUGGGUCAGGGACUGUUGCUCAAAUUACACCAUGGUUUAUUAACCAUGGUUUGGUUUAAUCAUUGAUGUGGGACUGAGACCAGUGAUUAAAGGCUCAGCUGAAAUAGGAACACCCGGUUCAUAGCUCAUGCUAUGAACUCAUUGAGCUUACAGCUUUUUAAUUGGAAUCAAAUUGGAAUCAAAUCUUCUGGGAAGUUGUGUUAUACCAAGUCAGACCAUCAAACUCAGUAUUGUCUACACACUGACAGGCAUUUGCAGACAAAAGUCUUUCUCAGGUCUAUCUGAAGAUGUAAUGGGUUGAAGUUGGGACCUUUUGCAUACAAAGGAUGUGCUCCACCACAAAUUAGUCCAUUGACUAAUUCCCUGAUUCCCUAUUCACAGACAUUGUUUGGGAUCCUGGUUGCACACAAAUAUGCAGUGAAAGAGUGUGGAGGAUGAGGGAAACCCUUUGGCGCCUCUUUGGAAAACCCCAGAUGAAUAAUUCUGCUAGCAUCUGCCCUCUGCAUGUUUUGCUUUCUAAUGCACUCCUGUUCAUGCUGUAUGUGAUCAAGCCAGCUGAUCAAGAUUUCCUUCUCUUUUAAAAGAAUAAAUCAAGAUGGAUAACUGGGAUGGAUGUUCCCAAAAGGCAGAUGAACUUACUCUUCUAUGCCACGAUGUCAGCAAGAGUAAUACUAUAUGUGCAGAAAUGGCGAUAUGAGGUGGUACCAACAAAAGAAGAUUGGCAGUUAAAAUUGACAGAAUGUGCCAAAUUGGAAAAUUUAACCAUGAAAAUUGGAUAUCAAGAAGAGGCCGUUUUUAAGGAGGAUUGGAAACCUUU